GUCUUCUGAUUGUAAAGUUCUUUUAUUUAGGAAAAAAAGCGUGCUAGGAAAUGAGUGCGCCUUGAUGGUACUAAUUGAAUAAGUGACAGCUAACUAUGUGCCAGCAGCUGCGGUAAAACAUAGGUCACGAGCAUUAUCCGGAUUUAUU
rnacentral:rRNA from 1 species